AAUUCUUGGCGGUGGAUCACUCGGCUCGUGCGUCGAUGAAGAACGCAGCCAGCUGCGAGAAUUAAUGUGAAUAUAUAAUUUUAUUAGAACAAAGGCAAUAGUAAUUUUUUUUAUUUGAAGAGCGAAUGCAUUCACAAUGGCAAAUGCUUGAUCUAGGAUCA
rnacentral:rRNA from 1 species